ACGUAGGGGGCAAGCGUUGUCCGGAAUUACUGGGCGUAAAGGGAGCGUAGGCGGUCUGUUAAGUGGGAUGUGAAAAACCCGGGCUUAACCCGGGAGGUGCAUUCUAAACUGGCAGACUUGAGUGUGGGAGAGGAAAGUGGAAUUCCUAGUGUAGCGGUGAAAUGCGUAGAUAUUAGGAGGAACACCAGUGGCGAAGGCGGCUUUCUGGACCAUAACUGACGCUGAGGCUCGAAAGCGUGGGGAGCAAACAG
rnacentral:rRNA from 1 species